rnacentral:misc_RNA from 1 species
GAUGAAGAACGUAGCGAAAUGCGAUAAGUAAUGUGAAUUGCAGAAUUCAGUGAAUCAUCGAAUCUUUGAACGCACAUUGCGCCCCCUGGUAUUCCGGGGGGCAUGCCUGUUCGAGCGUCAUUUCACCACUCAAGCCUCGCUUGGUAUUGGGCAUCGCGGUCCGCCGCGCGCCUCAAAUCGACCGGCUGGGUCUUCUGUCCCCUAAGCGUUGUGGAAACUAUUCGCUAAAGGGUGUUCGGGAGGCUACGCCGUAAAACAACCCCAUUUCUAAGGUUGACCUCGGAUCAGGUAGGGAUACCCGCUGAACUUGAGCAUAUCAAUAAGCGGAGGA